rnacentral:rRNA from 1 species
AUACGGAGGGUGCAAGCGUUACUCGGAAUCACUGGGCGUAAAGCGCGCGCAGGCGGCUUGAUAAGUUGGAUGUGAAAGCCUACGGCUCAACCGUAGAACUGCAUCCAAAACUGUCAAGCUAGAGUCUGGGAGGGGAAGAUGGAAUUAGUUGUGUAGGGGUAAAAUCCGUAGAGAUAACUAGGAAUACCAAAAGCGAAGGCGAUCUUCUGGAACAGUACUGACGCUGAGGCGCGAAAGCGUGGGAAGCAAACAGGAUUAGAAACCCCGGUAGUCC